AUACGGAGGAUCCGAGCGUUAUCCGGAUUUAUUGGGUUUAAAGGGUGCGCAGGCGGGAGGUUAAGUCGGCGGUGAAAUUUUUCGGCUCAACUUUGAAAGAGCCUUCGAAACUGGGUUUCUUGAGUGGAGAGUGAGGAAGAGGAAUUUUUGGUGGAGCGGUGAAAUGCAUAGAUAUCACGAGGAACUCCGAUUGCGCAGGCAGCUUACUAAACUACUACUGACGCUCAGGCACGAAGGCGUGGGGAUCAAACAGGAUUAGAUACCCUGGUAGUCCACGCAGUAAACGAUGAUUACUAGCUGUUUGCGAUACAAUGUAAGCGGCUGAGCGAAAGCGUUAAGUAAUCCACCUGGGGAGUACGUUCGCAAGAAUGAAACUCAAAGGAAUUGACGGGG
rnacentral:rRNA from 1 species